rnacentral:rRNA from 1 species
GAUGAACGCUGGCGGCGUGCCUAAUACAUGCCAGUCGAGCGAACAGAUGAGGAGCUUGCUCCUCUGACGUUAGCGGCGGACGGGUGAGUAACACGUGGAUAACCUACCUAUAAGACUGGGAUAACUUCGGGAAACCGGAGCUAAUACCGGAUAAUAUAUUGAACCGCAUGGUUCAAUAGUGAAAGACGGUUUUGCUGUCACUUAUAGAUGGAUCCGCGCCGCAUUAGCUAGUUGGUAAGGUAACGGCUUACCAAGGCAACGAUGCGUAGCCGACCUGAGAGGGUGAUCGGCCACACUGGAACUGAGACACGGUCCAGACUCCUACGGGAGGCAGCAGUAGGGAAUCUUCCGCAAUGGGCGAAAGCCUGACGGAGCAACGCCGCGUGAGUGAUGAAGGUCUUCGGAUCGUAAAACUCUGUUAUUAGGGAAGAACAAAUGUGUAAGUAACUAUGCACGUCUUGACGGUACCUAAUCAGAAAGCCACGACUAACUACGUG